rnacentral:rRNA from 1 species
UUCCAUUAGCUUGUUGGCGGGGUAACGGCCCACCAAGGCAUCGAUGGAUAGGGGUUCUGAGAGGAAGGUCCCCCACAUUGGAACUGAGACACGGUCCAAACUCCUACGGGAGGCAGCAGUGAGGAAUAUUGGUCAAUGGGCGCUAGCCUGAACCAGCCAAGUAGCGUGAAGGAUGACUGCCCUAUGGGUUGUAAACUUCUUUUAUAUGGGAAUAAAGUGCAGUAUGUAUACUGCUUUGCAUGUACCUUAUGAAUAAGGAUCGGCUAACUCCGUGCCAGCAGCCGCGGUAAUACGGAGGAUCCGAGCGUUAUCCGGAUUUAUUGGGUUUAAAGGGAGCGUAGGCGGGUUGUUAAGUCAGUUGUGAAAGUUUGCGGCUCAACCGUAAAAUUGCAGUUGAUACUGGCAUCCUUGAGUACAGUAGAGGUAGGCGGAAUUCGUGGUGUAGCGGUGAAAUGCUUAGAUAUCACGAAGAACUCCGAUUGCGAAGGCAGCCUGCUGGACUGUAACUGACGCUGAUGCUCGAAAGUGUGGGUAUCAAACAGGAUUAGAUACCCUGGUAGUCCACACAGUAAACGAUGAAUACUCGCUGUUUGCGAUAUACAGUAAGCGGC